GUUGAGUCCUUUUGAUGACAGCAUGAGUUCUGAGAACAAAGCUUCCAGCCUGUGUAAUGAGAGCUCAGAGCCUGAAAUAGCUGCUCUUCGCAUGCAAACACAGGGCCUGAGCCGAAGCUUUGACAGCGUGUUUUUGUCAUUUGUAAAACUCAGAGGGUUCCUCCAAGACCACAGAACAGCAGGGGCUGGCUGA
rnacentral:lncRNA from 1 species